GUUCAUCUUCAGUUUUCAGAAAGCGAGGAAGAGAAGGUAUUUGUGCAUCAUUUCUCAUCUGAGCAGGAUACAAUCCGCAGGUCCUAGCUGACAACGUCUCGGAUAAAGGACCAUUUAUUCUCAGGGACAUGGCAGAUAUGGAGCCUCUCAUCAUUCUCCUUCUGCUAGCAGGACUAGCAGGGAAGCCAUCAGCGACAGACACAACAGCAAUGGCUACUCCCACAACAACCACAACUGCUCCAACAACAACCACAGCUGCUCCCACAACAACCACAGGUACUCCCACAACAAACACAGCGGAGCCCACAACAAUCACAGCUACUCCCACAACAACCACAAAUGCUCCAACAACAACCACAGAAUCUACCACAACAACCACAGUCGCUACUUCAAAAACCAUAGAAUCUCCCACAGCAACCACAGCUGCUCUCACAACAACCACAGCUGCUCCCACAACAAUAACAGCUGAUCCCACAACAACCACAGCUACUCCCACAACAACGACAGCUGCUCCCACAACAACCACAGCUGCUCCCACAACAACCACAGCUGCUCCCACAACAAUUACAGCUGAUCCCACAACAAGCACAGCUACUCCCACAACAAACACAGCGGAUCCCACAACAACCACAGCUGCCCCCAGAA